AUUGAACGCUGGCGGCAGGCUUAACACAUGCAAGUCGAGCGAGCGGCGGACGGGUGAGUAAUGUCUGGGAAACUGCCUGAUGGAGGGGGAUAACUACUGGAAACGGUAGCUAAUACCGCAUACCAUCAGAUGUGCCCAGAGGGGAUUAGCUAGUAGGUGGGGUAAUGGCUCACCUUGGCGACGAUCCCUACCUGGUCUGAGAGGAUGACCGGCACCACUGGAACUGAGACACGGUCCAGACUCCUACGGAAGGCAGCAUGGGGGAAUAUUGCCAAAUGGGCGCAGGCCUGAUGCAGACAUGCCGCGUGUGUGAAGAAGGCCUUCGGGUUGUAAAGCACUUUCGGCGAGGAGGCGUUACUCGCAGAGAAAGCACCGGCUAACUCCGUGCCAGCCGCCGCGGUAAUAC
rnacentral:rRNA from 1 species